rnacentral:rRNA from 1 species
AAAACAUAGCUUCCCGUAAUUAUAAGAAGUGACGUCUGCCCAGUGACUAAGUUAAACGGCCGCGUAAGUGCUAAGGUAGCAUAAUCAUUUGCCUCUUCAUUGGAGGCUAGUAUGAAUGGAUUAACGAAGCUUAACUGUCUCUAAUCUUGAAAUUGAAAUUGAUUUAAAGGUGAAAAAUCCUUUGUAACGGGGCAGGACGAAAAGACCCUAUAGAGUUUACAGUGUAAUAAUCUUGACCAAAAACCAUAAUUAUACACUUUUAUUGGGGCAAUAAAAGAACAAACAAAACUCUUAAAAAAGUUAUUGCGAUAGCAAAAAAGAUCCUUAAAAAGAAUAAAGAAAAACUACCUUAGGGAUAACAGCGUUAUUCUUCCAGAGAGAGCUAAUCGAAGGAAGAGUUUGCGACCUCGAUGUUGGACUAAGGUUACAAUCAAGUGCAGAAGCUUGAUAAAGUAGGCCUGUUCGGCCUUUAAUACCUUACAUGAUU